ACAGGGAGCCACGUGGCAUGCAGCCUGCACCAUCCCCUGUUCCUCCCGCUGCCCCUGGUGGCCGGGCAGCGGCCUCGCAGGCAGGCCACUCACUCCCUGGGUCCAGUGGCAGGAUGUCGUCCCGUUCCUCUUCUCUCCCCUUUCCGUCACCUGGGGGGUCUGUGAGCCGGGUGUCUCUCCCUCUGCCGUCGGGUGGGGGAUGUCUUCCAC